rnacentral:rRNA from 1 species
CCUACGGGGGGCAGCAGUGGGGAAUAUUGGGCAAUGGGCGCAAGCCUGACCCAGCAACGCCGCGUGAAGGAAGAAGGCUUGCGGGUUGUAAACUUCUUUUCUGAGGGACGAAGAAAGUGACGGGACCGCAGGAAUAAGCAACGGCUAACUACGGGCCAGCAGCCGCGGUAAUACGUAGGGGGCAAGCGUUAGCCGGAUUUAAUGGGUGUAAAGGGAGCGUAGACGGCAGCGCAAGUCUGGAGUGAAAUCCCAUGGCUUAACCCUGGAACUGCUUUGGAAACUGUGCAGCUAGAGUGCAGGCGCGGUAAGCGGCCUUCCUCGUGUAGCGGUGUACUGCGUCGAUAUUAGG